rnacentral:rRNA from 1 species
UGAUACUGAGCCAUGCGAGUCAUUGCAGUAAUGCAAGGCAGACGGCUCAGUAACGCGUAGUCAACCUACCCUAUGGACGGGAAUAACCUCGGGAAACUGAGUAUAAUGCCCGAUAGAACACUAUUCCUGGAAUGGUUUGUGUUCCAAAUGAUUUAUCGCCGUAGGAUGGGACUGCGGCCUAUCAGUUUGUUGGUGAGGUAAUGGCCCACCAAGACUAUUACAGGUACGGGCUCUGAGAGGAGUAGCCCGGAGAUGGGUACUGAGACACGGACCCAGGCCCUAUGGGGCGCAGCAGGCGAGAAAACUUUGCAAUGUGCGAAAGCACGACAAGGUUAAUCCGAGUGGUUUGUGCUAAACGAACCUUUUGACAGUCCUAGAAACACUGUUGAAUAAGGGGUGGGCAAGUUCUGGUGUCAGCCGCCGCGGUAAAACCAGCACCUCAAGUGGUCAGGAUGAUUAUUGGGCCUAAAGCAUCCGUAGCCGGCUCUGUAAGUUUUCGGUUAAAUCUGUACGCUCAACGUACAGGCUGCCGGGAAUACUGCAGAGCUAGGGAGUGGGAGAGGUAGACGGUACUCGGUAGGAAGGGGUAAAAUCCUUUGAUCUAUUGAUGACCACCUGUGGCGAAGGCGGUCUACCAGAACACGUCCGACGGUGAGGGAUGAAAGCUGGGGGAGCAAACCGGAUUAGAUACCCGGGUAGUCCCAGCUGUAAACUAUGCAAACUCAGUGAUGCAUUGGCUUGUGGCCAAUGCAGUGCUGCAGGGAAGCCGUUAAGUUUGCCGCCUGGGAAGUACGUACGCAAGUAUGAAACUUAAAGGAAUUGGCGGGGGAGCACCACAAGGGGUGAAGCCUGCGGUUCAAUUGG